GGGGACGUCGGUUAGUGGUAAACCAUGGGACUCCAAAUCCCAAACCGGGGGUUCGAUUCCCUCCGUCCCUGCCA
rnacentral:tRNA from 1 species